rnacentral:tRNA from 3 species
GGUCCCGUACCUCAGCAGGCUGGAGCAUCAGAUUCCUAAUCUGGGGGUCGCGCGUUCGAAUCGCGCCGGGAUCACCA